GGGUUUUCAAUUUAUAUAAAUGGUUCUUCGAUUCUGUCAUAUCUUCUUCAAAAGCAAAAACAAGAGUGGACACACUGAAAUGUCUCGUCUGUCUCGUGUUCAUAAUAUAAUUUAUGAUGAAAGUAUAAAAAAACAUUGUAUACCCAAGCAUUACAUUAUUGCUGUUUACAGUUUAUCUACAUCUAUAAUAAUAUUCAAGAUAAUAACCAAAAACAGCAAAAUUUCCUUAAAAUUACCAAUUCAGGGGCGGCAACCCAACAACGGGUUGUCCGAUUCAUCUGAAAAUUUCAGGGCAGAUAGAUCUUGACCUGAUAAACAAUUUUACCCCGUCAGAUUUGCUCUAAAUGCUUUGGUUUUUGAGUUAUAAGCUAAAAACUGCAUUUUACCCCUAUGUUCUAUUUUUAGCCAUGGCGGCCAUCUUGGUUGGUUAGCCGGGUCACCAGACACAAUUUUUAAACUAGAUACCCAAAUAAUGAUUUUGGCCAUGUUUGGUUAAAUUUGGCCCAGUAGUUUCAGAGGAGAAGAUUUUUGUAAAAGAUAACUAAGAUUUACGGAAAAUGGUUAAAAAUUGACUAUAAAGGGCCAUAACUCCUAAAGGGGUCAACUGACCAUUUUGGUCAUGUUGACUUAUUUGUAAAUCUUACUUUG
rnacentral:lncRNA from 1 species